rnacentral:ribozyme from 14 species
CACCCAAAAUGAAUGAUGAAUAAAUGGAAAGAAUCAAUCCGAUAUGGAUUGAACAGAAACAUCGAUUGUGUGGGUUGUUGUUGUUCGUCUUCUUGUUCUUCUUUAUUUGCUCUAUUUCUUUUCUCCAACUUUUGCC